GUGCAGUUAGUACAGUGGUUUAUCACUCCAUGUCUCGUUUCCCAAACGAGCGACCCGGGAUCAUGUUCGAAUCCCGGACUGCGCA
rnacentral:tRNA from 1 species